rnacentral:lncRNA from 1 species
GAACAAUGUCGACAAAUAGAAGAGAGACAUAAGAAGGCCAUGGAAAAAGAAUGAGAGAGUGGUCUUAUGUUCUGUUUUGGGCUAAGAGUUUCAGAACCAAACACUAGUUUCAGGACAAAGACACAACGUAAGACGAUUAUGAUUACUGUGGCCUCUUUAUAGUAUAACACAAAAAUAUGUCCUAGGGCCGCUUGUUCUGUUUCCCUAAAGAGGUAGUCACGGGCCUCACGGCUCUGGUUCCAGCUAAGAUAUACGUAUGUCCCUUAAGAGUGGCCAUCAAUGGUGUGGUCAUUAGUGGGUUAGCCAACCACUAAGCAAUUAGCUCGAGUGGCCUCACGUUAAGUGAAACUCGUGAUCUUUAGGACGUUAAUCUUUUGUUCUUCUUGUAGUUUCUAUGAAUCUAAGUCGAGUUUUAAAGUUUGGAUGUUGUCUACUUUGAGAACAUGUUUAGAUUAUCUUUUCUCCUAUGUAAGUUUAUUAGUGUGUUUGGCUUUUAGGAUAACUUGUAAUCCUUUUAUUUUAAUAUAAAUGGAGUGUUUGUAGUCAAUAAUUUUUUUAAUAAAAAAACACUUAUCUUGUC